GAAGAAGAAGGAAAAAAAACCUCAAAAAAAA
rnacentral:sRNA from 1 species